UACGUAGGGUGCAAGCGUUAAUCGGAAUUACUGGGCGUAAAGCGUGCGCAGGCGGUUAUGUAAGACAGGUGUGAAAUCCCCGGGCUUAACCUGGGAACUGCAUUUGUGACUGCAUAGCUAGAGUACGGUAGAGGGGGAUGGAAUUCCGCGUGUAGCAGUGAAAUGCGUAGAUAUGCGGAGGAACACCGAUGGCGAAGGCAAUCCCCCUGGACCUGUACUGACACUCAUGCACGAAAGCGUGGGGGAGCAAACAGG
rnacentral:rRNA from 1 species